UACGUAGGGGGCAAGCGUUGUCCGGAUUUAUUGGGCGUAAAGAGCGUGUAGGCGGUCAGGUAGGUCCGUUGUGAAAACUCGAGGCUCAACCUCGAGACGCCGAUGGAAACCAUCUGACUAGAGUCCGGAAGAGGAGAGUGGAAUUCCUGGUGUAGCGGUGAAAUGCGCAGAUAUCAGGAGGAACACCGGUGGCGAAGGCGGGUCUCUGGGCCGAAAUUGACGCUGAGGAGCGAAAGCGUGGGGAGCAAACAGG
rnacentral:rRNA from 1 species